AUUGAACGCUGGCGGCAGGCCUAACACAUGCAAGUCGAACGGCAACAGGAAACAGCUUGCUGUUUCGCUGACGAGUGGCGGACGGGUGAGUAAUGUCUGGGAAACUGCCUGAUGGAGGGGGAUAACUACUGGAAACGGUAGCUAAUACCGCAUAACGUCGCAAGACCAAAGAGGGGGACCUUCGGGCCUCUUGCCAUCGGAUGUGCCCAGAUGGGAUUAGCUAGUAGGUGGGGUAACGGCUCACCUAGGCGACGAUCCCUAGCUGGUCUGAGAGGAUGACCAGCCACACUGGAACUGAGACACGGUCCAGACUCCUACGGGAGGCAGCAGUGGGGAAUAUUGCACAAUGGGCGCAAGCCUGAUGCAGCCAUGCCGCGUGUAUGAAGAAGGCCUUCGGGUUGUAAAGUACUUUCAGCGGGGAUGAAGGGAGUAAAGUUAAUACCUUUGCUCAUUGACGUUACCCGCAGAAGAAGCACCGGCUAACUCCGUG
rnacentral:rRNA from 1 species